UCUCUUCUGUCAAAGCUAAGAGAGAGAGUGGAGUUUAGCUCUUCUCUCCCCGGCCGCCAGUUCAAAGGUGACAACUCUGGUGGUAUAUUUCUCUGCGUAACCACACUUUCCCUUCACUGAUCACUCAGAGAAAAGCCGGCGUCCAAGAAAAGUGAUCUUACAGCUGAUGACCACUGGAAGAGUACGUGGCCUUAUGUUCAUGUGGGAGAAAUUUAUGUACUGUACGUGUAGACCCUUGCCACUUGGUUUCCCUUUUUCUACAGUAACACAGUUUUCAAGUUCUGUCGUCUUAUUUGUAAUUACAUUAUCUGAAGUACAUAGACAGUACUGUACGGGUUAUAGUAUAUUUGAAGAUGCAUGCACGGGCAUUUAAGGAGAGAGAGGCAUAUUGAUUAACAAGCACCGCUAUAUAGCAAACCAUUAACUAUCCGAACAAGUAGGUCGAUCCAAGCCACUGAACAGUCAACAGUGUAGUAGCUGUUCACACACACACAUCAUCCGCAUACAUGCAUGAGCACAUGAUCGAGAAGCUAGCUAGGUCGCACUGCAAGCCACACAUACAUAUAUAUAUAUCCAUGUAUAUGUGCACAGUGCAUGAUGCACACGGUUACAUAAUACUAUAUAGAUACAGCAUGCUAUUAAUCCUCCUGUAUGUUACCACACAACUUUAUUUUAUUUUUCCUGGCUUGCUAGCUUCAUCACGUGCACUGGUAUGUACUUACGUGGUAGAUUUCAUCAUUUAGCUGACCCUGCAUGCGCCAAAGAAUAUAGUUGAGAAAGAUAUAUAUAUAUAUAUAUAUAUAUAUAUAUAUAUAUAUAUAUAUAUAUAUAUAUAUAUAUAUAUAUAUAUAUAUAUAUAUAUAUAUAUAUAUAUAUAUAUAUACAUGAUGUGCAAGAGAUGAUGGCAGAGAUGGACCAGAGAUAAUAACUAUAUAUACGUACUUGUUGCAGUCGGUGGACAUGCUGAUGGGGAAAGGCACGGAGACGCCGCACUUGCCGGGGAUGGUGGCGACGGUGCCCAUGUUGACGCUCUUGACGCUGUUGGCGAGGCUCUUGAGGCACCGGCACGCCGCCUGCCGGUCCGAGCUGCUGCGCGCCUGCCC
rnacentral:lncRNA from 1 species